rnacentral:rRNA from 1 species
GCUCAGGAUGAACGCUGGCGGCGUGCUUAACACAUGCAAGUCGAGCGAAGCGCUUUUGCGGAUUUCUUCGGAUUGAAGCAACUGUGACUGAGCGGCGGACGGGUGAGUAACGCGUGGGUAACCUGCCUCAUACAGGGGGAUAACAGUUGGAAACGGCUGCUAAUACCGCAUAAGCGCACAGUACCGCAUGGUACCGUGUGAAAAACUCCGGUGGUAUGAGAUGGACCCGCGUCUGAUUAGGUAGUUGGUGGGGUAACGGCCUACCAAGCCGACGAUCAGUAGCCGACCUGAGAGGGUGACCGGCCACAUUGGGACUGAGACACGGCCCAAACUCCUACGGGAGGCAGCAGUA